GACGAACGCUGGCGGCGUGCUUAACACAUGCAAGUCGAACGGAAAGGCCCUGCUUUUGUGGGGUGCUCGAGUGGCGAACGGGUGAGUAACACGUGAGUAACCUGCCCUUGACUUUGGGAUAACUUCAGGAAACUGGGGCUAAUACCGGAUAGGAGCUCCUGCUGCAUGGUGGGGGUUGGAAAGUUUCGGCGGUUGGGGAUGGACUCGCGGCUUAUCAGCUUGUCGGUGGGGUAGUGGCUUACCAAGGCUUUGACGGGUAGCCGGCCUGAGAGGGUGACCGGCCACAUUGGGACUGAGAUACGGCCCAGACUCCUACGGGAGGCAGAAGUGGGGAAUAUUGCACAAUGGGCGGAAGCCUGAUGCAGCAACGCCGCGUGCGGGAUGACGGCCUUCGGGUUGUAAACCGCUUUCGCCUGUGACGAAGCGUGAGUGACGGUAAUGGGUAAAGAAGCACCGGCUAACUACGUG
rnacentral:rRNA from 1 species